rnacentral:misc_RNA from 1 species
GUGAAUCAUCGAAUCUUUGAACGCAAAUUGCACUCCCUGGUAUUCCGGGGAGCAUGCCUGUUUGAGGGUCGUUAGAAGAAAAAUCGAAGCAUCGCUCUUUUUUUUGAGGGUGAUCGCGUCGGAAUUGAGCCGUCUUUCAAAUGUUAAUUCACGUCAAAGUGGUUUAAAAUUCAUCCAACCGGUACGAUUAAAGCGUAUUUAGGAAAAAUUUUGAUUA